rnacentral:rRNA from 1 species
CCUACGGGAGGCAGCAGUGGGGGAUAUUGCACAAUGGGGGGAACCCUGAUGCAGCGACGCCGCGUGUGGGAAGACGGUCCUCUGUAUUUUAAGCCCCUGUCCCCAGGAAGAAAAAUAGCGCUACCUACUUAGGACGCCCCGUCUCACUGCGUCCCAGCAGACGCGCUAAUACGUAGGGGGCAUGCGUUGUCCGGAUUUACUGGGUGUAGGGGGAGCGUAGACGGCAGGGCAAGUCUGGAGUGAAAGAAGUGGGCUCAACCACCGGACUGCUCUGGAAACUGUACGGCUGGAGUGCAGGAGAGGUAAGUGGAAUUCCUAGUGUAGCGGUGAAAUGCGUAGAUAUUAGGAGGAACACCAGUGGCGAAGGCGGCUUACUGGACUGUAACUGACGUUGAGGCUCGAAAGCGUGGGGAGCAAACAGGAUUAGAUACCCCUGUAGUC